CGCCUCUGCCCUUCCUGGGCGUUUCCUCCCCAAUGACUUCAAGCCCGGUCCUUUGGCCGGGCUUUCUUUUUGCCCGCG
rnacentral:sRNA from 1 species